rnacentral:rRNA from 1 species
UACGGGGGGGGCAAGCGUUGUUCGGAAUUACUGGGCGUAAAGGGCUCGUAGGCGGCCAACUAAGUCAGACGUGAAAUCCCUCGGCUUAACCGGGGAACUGCGUCUGAUACUGGAUGGCUUGAGUGUGGGAGAGGGAUGCGGAAUUCCAGGUGUAGCGGUGAAAUGCGUAGAUAUCUGGAGGAACACCGGUGGCGAAGGCGGCAUCCUGGACCACGACUGACACUGAAAAGCGAAAGCCAGGGGAGCAAACGGG